rnacentral:lncRNA from 1 species
ACAUACGAUGAAAGAUAAGCAAAAUAUUAGUGAACUGAGUAGUAAGACUGUUUUAAAAAUCAACUCACAUCUCUCAAUACGACUCCAUAGAGCUCCUUCGAUUAAUCUAAUAGACAGUAUACGAACUACAGCUAUCUCUUGUACGUGUUGAAUUUGUGAAUGUUAAUCAAUUGAAAAAAAGGGUCGACAAGGAGGUAAAUACACUCUAUUCGUCACUAGUUACAAACCCCCACAUGACGUCAUUUGGCCAAUCUCUCUAUUUUACUGAGCAAAAAAUAUGAAGCAUCUCGCUCUAACAAGUUGAUCUCAUUUCAAAGAAAAAACGCCUUUUAAGAAUAUUAUUAUCACUAUUAUUGUUGUAUUUGUGAUCCUUUCAAUUGGCCGUUUUCGGUCAUUUAAUGUGUUUUUAUUUUAAUUACAUACAAAGCCUGGUUAGCUUUGAUUAGUAAUUGUGAGUCAUAAAAUGCGAGGGAUUGCGUGGGAUUCUAAAAAAUUAAUAAAGACUAGAGCGACUCAUUAUGA